AAAUAACUUUGCAAAACUUACCGGAUUUGUGCUCAUUUCUAUUUUCCUUAAUGUGUCAGUCCUCAACAAUAUUUUUCGAUCAGGGUGUCUUAAAUAUCCAAAAUAU